UUCUUCUUCUUCGUCGCUUAUCCAAGGAAAAGCAGAGGCUCCGUCGUCUCCUUCGUCGCGAUUAUGGAAAUGCCCGCCUUUCAUCGGAGCUGAGCUAUGGCGCUCGCACCAUUUCCGCCGCCGAAUCCCUCCUAUCCUCCUCCCGCCCGCGCUCGCGCGCUCGCUCGCCCUCCUCCGCUUCGGCUCCUCCUCCUCCGGCGAAGCUGCGAAGUCGUCCGGUUCAGGACCCGCUGCUCGGACCGGCCGGUUCAAUUCGAGGCCCGGCCGACCAGAGUCCCGUUCGAUGCAGGGAGGAAGAAGCGGAAGCGGAGGCCGAGCUUCUUCGAGGAAAUCCGCGGCAAGUGGACGAGCAAAACCGGUUCGGCCCGGGAGAGGUUCCCCUGGCAGGUGGAGGAGCGAGAGCCGCCGCGAGAGCAGUGCGAAGACGAAAGCUUGGUGAGCCGGGAAGCGUCUGAUGAAGCUGUUGAAGUAUCAUCUGAGCGUGAGCGUGAUGUUGAGUCGCCGGUGACGGAUGGCGUCAUGGCGCAUGCCGUUUCAGUUAAUCAGUCUAGGUUGCCUCCUUGGUUGGUUCAUGGAUAUAAUAAACCCUCUCCAGAACCCAUCCGCGACGAUGAAAGCGAAGCUUCGCGAUCAGGCUCGGAGGGAGAGGAAAUUGAGGAGGUUAGGGAGCGUUUGGGUGAUGGCAAUGUUGUUAGAGCUGGCGAGUCGAUUAGUGAAGUUGAUUUUGGCGGGGAGUUCGAUACAGAAGAUGAUGAAUGGGAGAAACUGUCCCCAGUUCCUCGACAAGGUGAGAAUUUGUCACUCGCCUUUGGAGGAUUGAGAGUGAGUGACUUUUUGUCCGAUGAUGAGAAUCAUCAGGGGAAUGAUGAGUUGGAGAAGCUUGAUGUUUCUGGGGAGAGUGGAAACAAGGGUUCAGUGGACUUGCCAUGGAAGAGUGGAGAGAGGAAGCAGAGCAAUGUGGAUUUGGCGGAGAGAGUGCUUCCGCAACAUGAGCUCAGGAGGCUCAGGAAAAUUGCUCUGAGGAUGGUGGAGAGGAAGAAAGUUGGGGAUGCAGGGAUUACUCAGGCUUUAGUGGAUUCUAUACAUGAGAAGUGGAGAGUGGAUGAAGUGGUGAAGUUGAAGUUUGAAGGUGCCCUGUCACUUAACAUGAAAAGAACCCAUCAGAUUUUGGAGAGUAGGACUGGAGGCUUGGUUAUAUGGAGAUCUGGAAGUUCAGUGGUGUUGUACCGAGGGAUGGCCUAUAAGCUUCCUUGUGUCCAAUCGUACAGCAAAAAAAUACAGGCCAGUGUAAGUUCUCUGAAAAAUGAGGACAUAGCCAGCAAUGUUUUUCAUAGUGAAGGAGGAAUGGAGUUUUCCAAAAACAAGGGCCGAAUUUUAUGUGGUUCUGCAGAAUAUAUGAAGGAUCUAUCUAAGGAAGAAUUCAUGGAUAUGAAUGAUCCUAACGAUUUAUUAGAUGAGUUGGGUCCACGGUUCAAGGAUUGGUCAGGCUGUGACCCAGUUCCAGUUGAUGCUGACUUGCUAUCUUCAGAGGUUCCUGGAUAUAAAACUCCAUUUAGGCUUCUUGCUUAUGGGGUUGGACAUUGUCUGAGAAACAAAGAGAUGACCAUGUUUCGUAGACUAGCAAGAACGAUGCCUCCGCAUUUUGCCCUGGGAAGAAACAGAAGGCUGCAAGGUCUUGCUAAGGCCAUGGUAAAGUUGUGGGAGAGCAGUGCUAUUGCAAAAAUAGCAAUUAAACGCGGCGUGCCAAAUACUUGCAAUGAUAGAAUGGCUGAAGAACUGAAGAAUUUAACUGGGGGAACACUACUCUCUAGGAACAAAGAUUAUAUUGUGUUUUACAGGGGUAAUGACUUCAUGCCUCCUGCAGUGGUAGAAGCACUGAAAGAGAGAGCAAAACUAGCAGAUGUCCAGGCAAAUGAGGAAGACCAAGCACGUCAGAGGGCCUCAGCCGCAAUUGAUUCAAAAUUAAAAGCUUCUAAAAGCCAACUUGUUGCUGGCACUCUUACUGAAACUCUGGCUGCCACCUCUCGGUGGGGGAAUGAAUUAAGUAGCAAAGAUUUUGAGCAAAUGCGUAGAGAGGAAUCACUCAAUAAGCAUGCUUCACUCUUGAAAUAUCUUGAGAAGAAACUUGCUCUUGCAAAAGGGAAGGUCAAAAAGGCUGAGAAAGCUCUAGCGAAAGUGCAGGAGAAUCUGAGACCGGCAGACCUUCCAGUUGAUCUGGAAACCAUAAGCGAUGAGGAGAGAUCUCUACUUCGUAAGAUUGGUCUGAGUAUGAAGCCUUUCCUGCUUAUUGGAAAGCGUGCCAUUUUUGACGGUACCAUAGAGAACGUGCACUUGCAUUGGAAGUAUCGCGAGUUGGUAAAAUUAAUUGUGAGGGGAAAAAGUUUUGCACAAGUGAAGCAUCUUGCAAUUUCUUUAGAGGCUGAAAGUGGUGGAGUGCUGGUAUCCGUAGAUAAGACUAUGAAAGGCUAUGCUAUCAUCAUUUAUCGUGGGAAGAAUUAUCAAAGGCCUCGUGCAGUGAGACCCAGAAAUUUGCUGACUAGAAGGCAGGCAUUGGCUCGCUCUAUUGAACUUCAGAGACGUGAGGCACUUAAGCAUCAUCUUUCAGACUUGCAGGAGCGGAUUGAGCAGUUAAAAUACGAACUUGAAGAUAUGAGAGUAAACAACCAGAUUGAUGAAGAAAAACUUUCUAGAUCACUUAAUGCCGGCUCGACAAUAGAUGACACAUCCGAGGACGAAGGAGAGGAGGCAUACCUUGGAGUUUAUGACAGUGGAGUGGAGGAUGCUUGAAGGAAUUGAGAAGCUCGUUCAUGAAAAAAAAUUGAUCAUCCAGGCAGCCCUACUUAUUGUUGGAAGCGGACUUCCCGCUAAUGACAGUGAGAGAACAUCAACCAUCGAUACACUGUUGCACCAAUUCACAAUCUCCCGAAGCGAAUAUGGUGACACAAGAGACUUGAUGGAACAGACUGGUCCUGUGGUGGCUCAUGAGACAACAGUAGGUGGUCCGAGAUGUGGUUGCAGUUGUUCACUACCCCAAAGUCCAUAUUUCCAACUAGAGCAUUCGCGGAAGAAACCAGCGAAUUGGCUCUCUCACCUCAAAAAACUGCCCGCUGGCAGUUUCAGCUAAUUUUUUGUCAUUAGGUCUGCGAUAUUGUAGUAGAUGACUUGAAACUCAGCCACGAGUGUUUGUAAGCACAGAUUACUGUAGGGGCGCAUGAAAUUAAGCCUUUGUAGAUGCACAAAUGAGGUAAGACAUCGAUGUAGCCAAGUCAUGUGUCAUAAACUAGUAAUCGCUGAUGAGCAUAAUAUUGGCAGAUGACACGGUGGAUGUAGCGAUGCCAGAGUCCAACAUAAGUUCCUCAAGCCAGUAUUUCAUACUGGAUGCAAUGACGUACCAUUUUAAGUGGAUUCAUUUCUCAAAA